rnacentral:rRNA from 1 species
CCUACGGGUGACAGCAGUCGAGAAUCAUUCACAAUGGGGGAAACCCUGAUGGUGCGACGCCGCGUGGGGGAAUGAAGGUCUUCGGAUUGUAAACCCCUGUCAUGUGGGAGCAAAUUAAAAAGAUAGUACCACAAGAGGAAGAGACGGCUAACUCUGUGCCAGCAGCCGCGGUCAUACAGAGGUCUCAAGCGUUGUUCGGCAUCACUGGGCGUAAAGCGUGCGUAGGCUGUUUCGUAAGUCGUGUGUGAAAGGCGCGGGCUCAACCCGCGGACGGCACAUGAUACUGCGAGACUAGAGUAAUGGAGGGGGAACCGGAAUUCUCGGUGUAGCAGUGAAAUGCGUAGAUAUCGAGAGGAACACUCGUGGCGAAGGCGGGUUCCUGGACAUUAACUGACGCUGAGGCACGAAGGCCAGGGGAGCGAAAGGGAUUAGAUACCCGGGUAGUC